GACGAACGCUGGCGGCGUGCCUAAUACAUGCAAGUAGAACGCACAGUUUAUACCGUAGCUUGCUCCACCAUAGACUGUGAGUUGCGAACGGGUGAGUAACGCGUAGGUAACCUGCCUGGUAGCGGGGGAUAACUAUUGGAAACGAUAGCUAAUACCGCAUAAUAUUAAUUAUUGCAUGAUAAUUAAUUGAAAGGUGCAAUUGCACCACUACCAGAUGGACCUGCGUUGUAUUAGCUAGUAGGUGAGGUAACGGCUCACCUAGGCGACGAUACAUAGCCGACCUGAGAGGGUGAUCGGCCACACUGGGACUGAGACACGGCCCAGACUCCUACGGGAGGCAGCAGUAGGGAAUCUUCGGCAAUGGACGAAAGUCUGACCGAGCAACGCCGCGUGAGUGAAGAAGGUGUUCGGAUCGUAAAGCUCUGUUGUAAGAGAAGAACGGGUGUGAGAGUGGAAAGUUCACACUGUGACGGUAUCUUACCAGAAAGGGACGGCUAACUACGUG
rnacentral:rRNA from 1 species